GUCCAGCUUGCUCUAUCAGCAGUCAGUAAAUCUAGAAUGCGGUGAUCUAAGUACGACGUGAAAUCUUUUACAAAAGGCGAGCUUUAAGGGACUGAUCAUGAAAUGGCUUACUUUCACCCGAAUACUUCUUGUAGCGCUACUUCUUUUGGUGGUACUGUGCCUAAACUUGGAAAAAGACAUUUUCAAAGCUACACUUUACAUCAGAAAUAGGACCCGGAUUUACGGUUUGUUAGACCAAAAACGCACUGCAGAAAGGACACAGUCUGAGAGAAUCGCAACCUUGAAAAGUUACUGCAGGACGAAUGACAC